ensembl:lncRNA
CGAAUAACAUUUUUUCAAAGCUUUGGUGAAAGCAAUUGUUCUGAGUUAUGGGAUGAGACCAGGAUGACAUACUUUGCUAUUUCCCCUACUACCAACAGCCAAACAUUUCAAACAGGUAUUGCCAAAAACAAGAGAAUUUUGCUUUUUCUCAUUUGCCCACACCUACGUUUUUAAUAGAAGAAAGGCGGUGAUUUUGCGUUGCACACUCAGUACUUUCCCAGUGCCUUUCCAUUCCUAGAAGAGUUUGUAUCACAUGUUCUUGUGGAUUAUUUCUGCCAGCUUUUACGUUACUACCAAGCAGUUUGGACUAUCAUUUUUACUUUUAUCUGGGUGUUAUUUCUUGCCAUCUUUUGCAGAAGCAUUAAAAUCACUUUCUGUUGCCUCCUAUCUACCAUUUGUAAAGAAUUUAUAUGUGAAUUUCUGCCCUUUCUGGCUCAAGAUACAAAUAAAUUUGACUUCUGUCAAAUUUGUGCGCACAGUCUGUCACAUUUCCUGUUUUGCUGGUUGUAUGGGAACUGUAGAAUCACGGCCUGAACCUCUGAUUGACCACCUGAGGCGAGUGCUGAGUCAGCUGCAGGGGCACAGAUGAACGCAAUUUCACCUGAGUGUCCGGAAGUGGUGGUCCGGCCUGGCUCCACCCCUCCCAGACCUCAUUUAAGGGCUGACUCCCAAGGAGGAAGGAUCUCUAUCUGGAGAUCACCCUUCUUGGAGCCCUUCUGCAAGCCCAGGAUAUGGUGUACUGGCAUUCUGCUGUUUAAAAGGAAAAAAAUGAGAUGUGUUGCCAAUUAUUGAUCUACCAGAAGUCUUUUUAAAACCUUGUGGAAGCUUGCUUAAGCAAAGGAUUUUGUCAGAAGCUUUUUAAAAAUCCAGAAACACCACAUCAACCAGAUCCACGCUUCUCCAAAUACCCACUGACUUCUCAGAAGUGUUCAAGUAGACCUGAAACAUGAAUUCUGGCUAAAAAAAAUACAUAUAUGAAUUCCUCUCCUUGUAUCAAGACAAAAACAAGUAUUUCUACUAGGCUGGAUAGGGAAGGCAGCAUCUAGACAGUGUGAAAAUGGAUGGAAAUCGAGGUCUGGCAACAGUGACCUUUCUAGCAAUGCAGCAAAACCGUUCAGUAAUGACGAAAGAGGACAAAAACCCCAAAUUAUGAUGUCUGUUUUGUAACUUUUGGCAAACACGAGGUCUUGCCUCGUGGUCUAGACCGCGUGAGAUGUGCUUCUGGAUCUUCAGCACACCUUCUAGAAGCAAAAGAAUCUUCCUCCCAGGAGAUGCAGAUUUUUG